UUAAUUUUAUUGAGGAAAACGUUUCGAAUUUUACUCGUGAAAAAACCUGAUCACAAUUUCAUUAACAUUGUCAAAUAGUAGUAUUUCUAUUUAUUAGCAAGGAGUAAAGAUCAUUGCUAAAGCACUUUGAAUGAAAAGUUUUGAAAAACUCAAUCACGACAUAAGAAAAUUUCUUUGGAUAAGUAUAAUUACAAUUUAUAUAUAUUUUUAUAAUUGUGUGACUUUUAUUAUACAUAUACCAAAAUUAAAUAUAUUUUUUAACCACAUUUGUCUUGCACAUCACGAUACUGGAAUUUUUUAAUUCGCGAAGAACCGCUGUUCUGCAUUUUAAUUGCAACUAAACACAUACGAUACAUAAAUCUUGCCAAAGGAAUUACAUUGUUUUUAGACUACAAGAGUGAAGUUGCAUACGGAAUUGCAUUACGUGAUAACUGCAAACGAUCUUUGAUUGAAUGUAAUAUGCUUUAAAGAAGUAAAGAAACCUCAAACAAAACUUCAAUAUGAAAUUGCAAGCAAAUGUUUUACGUUUUCACUUAAUAUUGUUAAUUUAAAAUCAGUAUAGAGAAAGAAAAAACUAUUUAAUAAAUUGCGGAAGAAUACCAGAAAAGAAGAAGCAAUUCCCUUCCUAAACAAUAUUGUUGCGAAAAUCGGAAACGUUUUUCUGGCGUGUCUACCCAACUCAAUGGUUCCCAACCGGAGGUACGCGAGAUGGUUAAAAAUGGUCCGUGAAUCAAAUUUAACAGAUUAGCAACAGAAGAAGCAAAACAGAAAUGCUGAAAACUGAAGCUUUGACAAUGAAAAAAUUCUGAACUUUCCUAAAGCAAAUAACCAGGUAUUAUUAAAAGAAACGACCUAAAACCCGGUUAGAAAUAAGACAAAUACUUGUUUCACUGAUAUACAAUUUAAAAAUUAAAGUGCUAUCUAACUUUACUAAAAACACGGGAAAAAAAAUUAAAAAAAGAUAAGAGGGCGUCUUAUUAGAAGAAAAAAACACAAAGAAAAAAAAACAAACAGAAAAUUCGAUAUACACGAGACGAUACUGCGAGCACUGAAGAAAGAUUCACAAUUAGAGGGAGGAGCACGAUAUCGCUUCAUAUGGCAACUACGCUACAGUGUUACUGCACAUAAAUAAACGAAGAAUGAAGUGCACAAAAUGAACAAUAUACAAUAAAUAAAUGGUAACAAGGGAUGAGAACAGCUGAAAACGCACCUUAUGCAGACAUUUUUAAGGCAAAGUGUACCAACACAAAAGAGUUGCCAAUUUAUUAUUGUGUACGAAAAUCGGCGAAAAGAGCAAUGAUCAAUAAAAACGUAGUUGGCGUACUUUAUACUCAAUGUUUGCAGUGUAGUUGAUUUACUUAGGAAACAUGUUAUUUAGAAGCUACACAAAAUCAUAUUGUAUUUAAAAUUGAUAUAAAUAAAUAAUAUAUUUACUAAUUAAGUCUAAAAACCAGCCAACUAAUUGGACAGACAAGAUUGGCCAACCCAUUUUUUAUAGUUUUACGCCCACUUUUUAAAACAUAUAGAAAAUCACUAUGAAAUCCGAUAUUGAGAUACAAGUAAACUUACUUCUGCUGAUCAAAAAUUAAAA